GACGAACGCUGGCGGCAUGCCUUACACAUGCAAGUCGAACGGUAACAGGUCUUCGGAUGCUGACGAGUGGCGAACGGGUGAGUAAUACAUCGGAACGUGCCUAGUAGUGGGGGAUAACUACUCGAAAGAGUGGCUAAUACCGCAUGAGAUCUACGGAUGAAAGCAGGGGAUCGCAAGACCUUGUGCUACUAGAGCGGCCGAUGGCAGAUUAGUUAGUUGGUGAGAUAAAAGCUUACCAAGCCGACGAUCUGUAGCUGGUCUGAGAGGACGAUCAGCCACACUGGGACUGAGACACGGCCCAGACUCCUACGGGAGGCAGCAGUGGGGAAUUUUGGACAAUGGGCGAAAGCCUGAUCCAGCAAUGCCGCGUGCAGGAUGAAGGCCUUCGGGUUGUAAACUGCUUUUGUACGGAACGAAAAGCCCCGGGUUAAUACCCUGGGGUCAUGACGGUACCGUAAGAAUAAGCACCGGCUAACUACGUGCCAGCAGCCGCCGUAA
rnacentral:rRNA from 1 species